rnacentral:rRNA from 1 species
AGAGUUUGAUCAUGGCUCAGGAUGAACGCUGGCGGCGUGCCUAACACAUGCAAGUCGAACGGAGUUACGAGAGCUUGCUUUGUAACUUAGUGGCGGACGGGUGAGUAAUGUAUGAGCAACCUGCCUUUCAGAGGGGGACAACAGUUGGAAACGACUGCUAAUACCGCAUAAUGUAUUUUGAGGGCAUCCUCGGGAUACCAAAGGAGCAAUCCGCUGAAAGAUGGGCUCAUAUCUGAUUAGCUAGUUGGUGGGGUAACGGCUCACCAAGGCUGCGAUCAGUAGCCGGACUGAGAGGUUGAACGGCCACAUUGGGACUGAGAUACGGCCCAGACUCCUACGGGAGGCAGCAGUGGGGAAUAUUGGGCAAUGGGCGAAAGCCUGAACCCCAGCAACGCCGCGUGAAGGAAGAAGGUCUUCGGAUUGUAAACUUCUUUUAUGAGGGACGAAGGACGUGACGGUACCUCAUGAAUAAGCCACGGCUAACUACGUGCCAGCAGCAGC